GACGAACGCUGGCGGCGCGCUUAACACAUGCAAGUCGAGCGAUGAAACUUUAACAGAACCCUUCGGGGCGAAGAUAAAGUGGAUUAGCGGCGGACGGGUGAGUAACACGUGAGUAACCUGCCUUAAACAUUGGGAUAGCCUCGGGAAACCGGGAUUAAUACCAAAUAAAAUCAUAAUGACACAUGUCAUAACGUUCAAAACUCCGGUGGUCUAAGAUGGACUCGCGUCCCAUUAGCUAGUUGGUAGAGUAAAAGCCUACCAAGGCGACGAUGGGUAGCCGGCCUGAGAGGGUGAACGGCCACAUUGGAACUGAGAAACGGUCCAAACUCCUACGGGAGGCAGCAGUGGGGAAUAUUGCACAAUGGAGGGAACUCUGAUGCAGCGACGCCGCGUGAACGAAGAAGGCUUUCGAGUCGUAAAGUUCUUUUAUAUGGGAAGAUAAUGACGGUACCAGAAGAAAAAGCCCCGGCUAACUACGUG
rnacentral:rRNA from 1 species